UACGUAGGAUCCAAGCGUUGUCCGGAUUUACUGGGUGUAAAGGGUGCGCAGGCGGACUGGUAAGUCAGUAGUGAAAUCUCGGCGCUCAACGCCGAAACGUCUUUUGAUACUGUCAGUCUUGAAUAAGCGAGAGAUCCGUGGAAUUCCGAGUGUAGCAGUGAAAUGUGUAGAUAUUCGGAAGAACACCAGCGGCGAAGGCAGCGGGUUGGCGCUUUAUUGACGCUCAGGCACGAAAGCAUGGGGAUCAAACAGG
rnacentral:rRNA from 1 species